CCUACGGGGGGCAGCAGUCGAGAAUCAUUCACAAUGGGCGCGAGCCUGAACCAGCCAAGUCGCGUGAGGGAAGACGGCCCUACGGGUUGUCAACCUCUUUUGCCGGGGAGCAACGGGCGCCACGUGUGGCGCCACUGAGAGUACCCGGAGAAAAAGCAUCGGCUAACUCCGUGCCAGCAGCCGCGGUAAUACGGAGGAUGCGAGCGUUAUCCGGAUUUAUUGGGUUUAAAGGGUGCGUAGGCGGAGCGUUAAGUCAGUGGUAAAAUUGAGGGGCUCAAGCCCUUCCCGCCAUUGAAACUGGCGCUCUUGAGUGGAAGAGAAGUAUGCGGAAUGCGUGGUGUAGCGGUGAAAUGCAUAGAUAUCACGCAGAACCCCGAUUGCGAAGGCAGCAUGCCGGCUUCCGACUGACGCUGAAGCACGAAAGCGUGGGGAUCGAACAGGAUUAGAUACCCGAGUAGUC
rnacentral:rRNA from 1 species